GUGUUCCUCAAGCUCAUCUGGUAGAGCAUGGUGCUAGCAACGCCAAGAUCUUGGGUUCGAUUCCCAGGGAACACA